GGCCGCCCCGCCUCUGAGGCGCGACUCGCAGUCGCAGGGCGGCAUCGGGCUCGGGGGCGAAGAGAAAAACUGAGCGAAGCGUGGGAAGUGGGGUGCGGGGGGAAGGAAGGCUGCGAAGCUGUCUGGAGAAGGAACUGCGUACCUUCUCAAGGGAAGGCCCCUCAACAAGGAGAGGGUUAGCGUGUGACUCUGCCCUGUGAGAAUCGCUGACAGAGAGAGCUCGGCGGGGACACAAAGGGGACAGAAAGAGGUUUUCAGUGGCACUGGCAGAAAGAAGCAGAAGUGUAGUCCUGCCGUGCAUCAGGAGAGCGUCUGAAGUGAGGCCUCACACCUCUGUUCGCCAUAAGAAGCUUCCAGGCUGUGGUGUGGCCGAGGCUGAAUGCAAAAUGCACGUCACUGCCCGAAGUGGAAACAAAACCAAAGAGUUAAAUGUGCUAAAACCGAGGCAAUUGGUUCAUAUUUUACUCAUCAACUCAGGCCGGGGUUUGGACGAGUGAGGGCUGGUAAAUUCGUUGAGUUGGGAACGUUGCCAUCUGAAGAAAAAUAGACGGGGAAGAGAGAAAGAUGAGCAGAAUGAGCGCCAGUCACAUACGAGACUUCAGAACAAACUUUGACAGUUAAAGUCAUUUUAAUAUUGAAAAAAAGGAGGAUGAAGUUAACGCCAGACAUCACUCUUUUUUUCCUUUGUCUGUAUGGACGUGAAGAAGACGUUCAGUAAAUUGUCAUGUGGAAAUGACCAGCAAUCCGUAUGGGAUGGGGAUUUUCAGUAGACCAGGGAGGUGGGUGGCACCCAGACACAGAGACGAAAUUGGGUAAUCUGGCAAAUUUUUGGAGGGGUGGCAAGAAGAAAUGAAGCAGAAAACACUAUUUCGAAUGGAUUUUAAAUGGGGUAUAGAGAUUAGUCACAUGUUACCCAAUUCUUACUGAACUUGCCACAUUAAAAAAAAAAAAAAAACAUGAAGUGGUGAUGGUUCAGCUUAAGAACAGAUGACAAAACUGAACCACGGCUCAGUCCAGAAAGACUUUGUUCUCUGUGCAACAGGAAGAGUACCACCUCCUCAAGUCAUAGCAGGCAUAUCUGGCAUUGCCACAGAGGAACAGGAAAAGUUAGCCACAGAGGAUUAAAAUCUGGGGAGGGUGCUCCUGAGCACUACAUCAGCACAAGCAGAGCUGGCUGCUUGCCCAUCGAUCUGCACGCAUAUCUGUCCGCAGCAACACCGGCAGCCCGCAGUGAGCAACGCCAGCACGAAACGCCACGGUGCUGGGGGAGCACCACAGCCUCGGAGGGAAGGGAUGUGACAUUGCAUUCAUCUUUGAGAGCAAACAAAUGGCAUCUUUAACUUGCAGAGGAGCCUAAGCGAAUCUGUGAGACAAACAGCAGUAAAAAUGCACGGUAGCUUUCCAGAUUUCUCAAAGCAAGCCUCAGCUAGACAGUGGAAAUGGCGAGAAUAUUUUAAAACAAAUGAGGACGUCGGUAACGCUGCUUCAUCUGCAUAGUGUAAGCAUCGCUGCUCUACUGACUCCAUCGAAACAAUCACGGAACCCUGAGCUUCUACAUCCUCUGCCACCCCACCUCCCCCCGAAGGAAGAGCGUGCUCUGUACUUCCCUCUCAGCCUAUAAAGGUGCGGCACUCCCGUGGGUGUUAUUGUCACUAAUCUCAUCAGACACGAAGAGCGAGGUUUAAAAAAAAAAACAAAAAACCAACCACCUUUCGAUUCAGUCAGAAGGCAGCAGUAGCUGAAGCAAUUGCUGUGCCUCUUCCACAAGUGAUUUCCCUCUGGAGUUCACCGAAAUCAGCUGUGGCGAGGGGCAGAACCGGAGAGGGACCGAAUCACGAGAAAACAAAGAUCUAAAUAGAAUGAAGUGAAAGGCACCUUUCACAACCUGAGAACGAACAAAGAAAGGAAGUAGGAAACGUGCAGCUCAAAGAACUCCGUGCGCCCUCGUGUUUUUGACUUUUUCAUACCCUGGUUCCAGUCAAAAGAUGAGAUCUGUCUGAGAACGGUUGUUAAGCAUGGAAGAGAUGGCCCAGAGAGGUUUGGGAGUCUCCGUUCCUGAGAACAGCUCACAACACAUCUGGAUAUGGUCCUGAAGAACCUGCUGUAGCUGCCUGUUUUGAGCAGGGGCUUUGGACUAGAUGAUCUCCAGAGAUGCCUUCCCACCUCAGCUCUUCUGUGAUUCUGUAAAGCUGAGUAUAGCCAUAUACCCUGACUUUGUCCCAUGUCCACAUGGGGGAGAAAACCGUGUUCCCAGCAGUCAUCACUUGCAGCUACAGAAGCUGAACUGCAUGAUGGGAGCCAAGUAGUGAGUCCCUGCAGGUAGGUUUCGAUGCAGCCUGAGAUACCAAUAACUGAAUUCAGAAUUCCCAUGGUAGCAUGUAUGACAAAUGUAGUAUCCUGCUAAAUGCUGUGAGAUUAAAAGUGACCAGCAACUGAGAUUAUGUGUCUUUUAUAAUUCCCAAAUAUUUGCAUGC
ensembl:lncRNA